UAUAAAUAAUUCCACUUUGAAACUGCGAAUGGCUCAUUAUAUCAGUUAUAGUUUAUUAGAAAUAAUUUACUACUUGGAUAACCGUAGUAAUUCUAGGGCUAAUACAUGAGUAAAUCCUCGACUUUGAAGAGGUGUGUUUAUUAGUAUGAAAACCAUAUGCUUUUGCAUAAUAGUGAGUAAUAAUAACCUUUCAUAUCGUAUGUUGUAAUAACGAUAGUUCUUUCAAGUUUCUGCCCUAUCAGCUUUCGAUGGUAGUGCAUUGGACUACCAUGGCAGUAACGGGUAACGAAGAAUUUGGGUUCGAUUUCGGAGAGGGAGCCUGAAAGAUGGCUACCACAUCCAAGGAAGGCAGCAGGCGCGUAAAUUACCCAAUCCUGACAUAGGGAGGUAGUGACAAUAAAUCACAAUGCGGGACUUUUAGUUUUGCAAUUGGAUUGAGAACAAUGUAAAAGAGUUAUCGAUAAACAAUUGGAGGGCAAGUCUGGUGCCAGCAGCCGCGGUAAUUCCAGCUCCAAUAGCGUAUAUUAACGUUGUUGCAG
rnacentral:rRNA from 1 species